UACGAAGGGGGCUAGCGUUGCUCGGAAUCACUGGGCGUAAAGCGCACGUAGGCGGCUUCUUAAGUCAGGGGUGAAAUCCUGGAGCUCAACUCCAGAACUGCCUUCGAUACUGGAAAGCUCGAGUCCGGGAGAGGUGAGUGGAACUGCGAGUGUAGAGGUGAAAUUCGUAGAUAUUCGCAAGAACACCAGUGGCGAAGGCGGCUCACUGGCCCGGUACUGACGCUGAGGUGCGAAAGCGUGGGGAGCAAACAGG
rnacentral:rRNA from 1 species